rnacentral:lncRNA from 1 species
CCAAAAAUAUGGAAAUCUUGUCUAUUUCUUGUUGUGCCCUAGAGCAAAUUUUGUUGAGUUUGUUGUCACAUCAUUAUUUUCGGACUCUGUGAAAUUGCUAAUGAGGAACAGGCUGCUUUCAUUGGAGCAGUUGUGUGUGUUUAGGGCUGUGAUGAGACGUAUAUGGACCGGGGCUAAAUCACUGGCAGAGGGAAGGUUAAUGUUCUCCUUGAACUAAACAUCUACCACAGGUGGCAGUUGUCUCUAAAAUUGUUGCCAGGGAGCCCAAUUGUGUGAAGAUGGAGCUGGCUUCAGCUGCACUGAAUUUAGUUUCUGAGUGAGCAGUUAUAAACCAUGUAAUGGGGGGUGUGAGGCUCUUUUGGAUGGCUGAGGUAGGCAUGAACACUGCCCUGGAGGAAGAGAAUGCUAAGAACCCUUUGGCUUGAUCCUUAAGACUAUGAGUUGUUGCUUUAGAUGACCUUGGGAAUUUGUUCAUCAGAAUUGCCACAUAUUAGGAUUGCUCUCGGCCAGCAUGACAACCUGGGACCUCCGCCUGAGAAGUGUAUUGAGGGUAUCUUGGACAAGCUUCCAGUACUGACAUCUCUGCUGCAAUCCACAGCUUGGCCACAAUUGAUUGCUGUAGUUUCCAGACUCAUCCUGUGUUCAUCAUAGGAAACAAAACUACCAAGUUAUUUUAAAGUAAUAGCAUGGCAUUUGCAAGAAUCCCAAUUUUUCCAAAUAGCAUCUUGUGUGAACCACAAGAGAUGCAUCUUACAGGACCACAGUCUGCUCCAGCAAGUCUGGAGUAGCUCCACUGUCUUGAAUAGAAAAAUGAAAGGAUCCAGGAACUCAAUCUUUUUCCUGUUAAAGUCUUGGAUAGUUGCAUUAAAAUGGUGAAAGGGGAAAAACAAAUUUAUAGUUGAUGUGCAGAUUGAGGAUGUUAGGGAGAUGGAAGACUGAAAACCAUGUCCAUAGCCUGUCUCGUAGGCAGUGUAUUUUCCAGAGCUUAAGUGCCUGCUAUUAAGAAGUUGUCAUUCAGCAAUGGUUACCACAGUAUCAACAACUAAAAUGCCACAGCUGAUGUAGGAAAUAUAAUAACUAGUUUUCACAGGAGUUUCGGGGUAGGAAAUAUAUGUGCUGUCUCCAAAGACAGUCUUUUUAAUGCCUAUUUAUAUAGCAAGGUUCGUCUUCAUGCUGUUACUAGCUCCAGAUGUUACUUCCAGCAGGCCAUGGCAAAACAGAAUCCAAAGGAUAAAUGGGAAAGUAGGCAAAUGAAUUGAUAGAAGGCACUUUUGCAUAAACAGACUCAUUCAGGAGCAAGAUAGGCAUAUAUGGAGUCUUUAUUGUGGUUUUUAACUCAAAGAUGGAUACUUUUCUAAAUGUUCUGAUCCAACAUUUUUAGGCUUUUGUGUGGAGAAGUUCAGAUUUGUGUUGCCCUAAUUCAAUACUCAUAACGAUUCUUCUGACUGUGGAUGGUUACCCGCUUGUCAUUUUGGGGUAUGUUAGUGGCUAUGUAACAUGAGUUUCUUAAUAAAUCAGUUAAGCUGGAGUCA